GAUCUUCUGGCGAAGUUGGUACGGCCUAGCGAUUGUAAUUCUAGUUCUCAGCGUCAAUAUACUUAUACAAUAUCUUUAAUCCGUAUCGCUAGGUAUUAUCGGGGAUUCGAUUCCCUCGAUGGUCA